rnacentral:rRNA from 1 species
AGCAGCCGCGGUAAUUCCAGCUCCAAUAGCGUAUAUUAAAGUUGUUGCAGUUAAAAAGCUCGUAGUUGAAUUUCGGGAUCAAUAUGUUGGUCGUGCCUUGGUACGUACUGGCAUUAUCGAUUCCUACCUUCUGAAGAACCUCGAUGUCAUUAAUUUGGUGUCUUGGGGAAUCAGGACUGUUACUUUGAAAAAUUAGAGUGUUUAAAGCAGGCUCGCGCUUGAAUACAUUAGCAUGGAAUAAUGAAAUAGGACGUUUGAUUCUAUUUUGUUGGUUUCUAGGAUCGACGUAAUGAUUAAUAGGGAUAGUUGGGGGCAUUAGUAUUCAAUUGUCAGAGGUGAAAUUCUUGGAUUUAUUGAAGACUAACUACUGCGAAAGCAUUUGCCAAGGAUGUUUUCAUUAAUCAAGAACGAAAGUUAGGGGAUCGAAGACGAUCAGAUACCGUCGUAGUCUUAACCAUAAACUAUGCCGACUAGGGAUCGGAUGAUGUUAAUUUUUUAAUGACUCAUUCGGCGCCUUAAC